UACGGAGGGUGCGAGCGUUGUCCGGAAUCACUGGGCGUAAAGGGCGCGUAGGCGGCGCGGGAAGUCAACGGUGAAAGCUUGGGGCUCAACUCCGAGUCGGCCGUCGAUACUCCCCGUGCUCGAGCACUGUAGAGGCAGAUGGAAUUCCGGGUGUAGCGGUGGAAUGCGUAGAGAUCCGGAAGAACACCGGUGGCGAAGGCGGUCUGCUGGGCAGUGCUGGACGCUGAUGCGCGACAGCGUGGGGACGCAACAGGAGUUAGAAAACCCCAUGGUUAGUACCCCAGGUAGAACCACGU
rnacentral:rRNA from 1 species